UAGAAGGCAGACAAAAAAGAAUUAUAUUCAGGCCUUUCAAAUUAUUCAUGAAACACUCUACAAAACUAGUUUCAGGAAAUAAGGAUGCACUGGAAUACAAAAAGAACGUAUUGCCAAGAUGGGAUAUUUUUGGAUACAUUAGGAUUGAUAGUUCAGCUGGUAUGUAAAAUUUAAGGGUAAGUGGGAGGGAAGCAGAGGUAGAAAACAUCUGUCUUUUCCAAUGGAGAUGAAUCAUAAAAGGAGAAGAAUGGAUUAACCUCUCUGCUGUAAUACGGCAGGGGGUGACAAAUUGCAUUCUUACCCGAAGGCAUACAUAGGACUGGAAACUGCUCGAGAGAAGAAGUAAAAAGAAAAAGAUAAAUAGCAAAUAAAGGGGAAGGAAUACGGACAGCACAACACAAGGAGGCAGGAAAAUGACCCUAGCGAUACCUUCUUACCUUAUCUGAAAAACUGGUAGAUCAACUGGCUAUGCUAUGGAGCUGAGAAGGAUGAUAAUGAAACAAUAAAAACAACAUUUAUCAGAAUAAUUUACUUGAUUAUGACUCAACUACCAGGGUAUCUGUCACAUUAUAAGUGCUGACUCUACGCUUGCUGACUGAUCAGAGAAUGUCAUGGUAUUCCUUGGAUACAAGGUUCAAUUAGCAGUAUUAAACAGAGGAAAGUUUCUUAAACAUCACUGAAUCCAGUGUCCUCGUUAUACAGGUGAGGAAACUGAAGCAAAGUCAAGUGAAUCACCCUCAUCAAGUCAGUAAGAAGCAGAGCUGGUAUUUGAUCCCAGGAUCUGACUGCAAAUCCACUGUCUCUUCCAUUAUACCACAGCAUAUAGAUUACAUAACAUAUCACUUAAGCUUAUAUACUAGAACCAGAUGCAGUCCAAUAUCAGUGAGGUUGAAAAUAAAUAUUGUAACAAAUCUAUCCUAUGUUUUAAUGAACUCUAGCUUAAGGGAACUGACUGUGCAUAUCGUUAUCUGAAAUAAAUCAGCUGCAGAUAUGGUAUUACCUAAGAAAGUGUCUUCUGCACCUUUGGUGAAUACUUUUAUUAAGUAUUUUACCAAGAAUUUUACUGUUAAAAACAUAUAUACAUGUAUG